rnacentral:rRNA from 1 species
GUCUACGGCCAUGCCACCAUGAAUAAGCCUGCUGUCUGAUUUUGGAAUCUAAGCAGGGUUGGGCCUGGUUAGUACUUGGAUGAGAGACCACCUAGCAAGACCAGGUGCUUGUAGGCA